AUACGUAGGGGGCGAGCGUUGUCCGGAAUGAUUGGGCGUAAAGGGCGCGUAGGCGGCCCGGUAAGUCUGGAGUGAAAGUCCUGUUUUUAAGGUGGGAAUUGCUUUGGAUACUGUCGGGCUUGAGUGCAGGAGAGGUAAGUGGAAUUCCCAGUGUAGCGGUGAAAUGCGUAGAGAUUGGGAGGAACACCAGUGGCGAAGGCGACUUACUGGACUGUAACUGACGCUGAGGCGCGAAAGUGUGGGGAGCAAACAGGAUUAGAUACCCUGGUAGUCCACACCGUAAACGAUGAAUGCUAGGUGUAGGGGGUAUCGACCCCUUCUGUGCCGCAGUCAACACAAUAAGCAUUCCGCCUGGGGAGUACGGCCGCAAGGUUGAAACUCAAAUGAAUUGACGGG
rnacentral:rRNA from 1 species